rnacentral:misc_RNA from 1 species
UACGGAGGGUGCAAGCGUUGUCCGGAUUUAUUGGGUUUAAAGGGUGCGUAGGCGGUGGAAUAAGUCAGUAUUUAAAGACGGCAGCUUAACUGUCGGUAUGGUAUUGAUACUGUUUCACUUGAGUGAAGACGAGGUAGGCGGAAUUGAUAAUGUAGCGGUGAAAUGCAUAGAUAUUAUCAGGAACUCCGAUUGCGAAGGCAGCUUACUAGGCUUUAACUGACGCUGAGGCACGAAAGUGUGGGGAGCAAACAGG